rnacentral:rRNA from 1 species
GAUGAACGCUAGCGGCAGGCCUAAUACAUGCAAGUCGAACGGUCCGCUUCGGCGGAUAGUGGCGCACGGGUGCGUAACACGUAUGCAACCUACCUUACAUUGGGGGAUAGCCUUUCGAAAGGGAGAUUAAUACCGCAUAAGACAGUAGCUGGGCAUCCAGUAGCUGUUAAAGAUUUAUCGAUGCAAGCUGGGCAUGCGUCCAAUUAGUUAGUUGGUGAGGUAACGGCUCACCAAGACGAUGAUUGGUAGGGGAACUGAGAGGUCAAUCCCCCACACUGGCACUGAGAUACGGGCCAGACUCCUACGGGAGGCAGCAGUAGGGAAUAUUGCGCAAUGGACGCAAGUCUGACCCAGCCAUGCCGCGUGCAGGAAGAAGGCGUUCUGCGUUGUAAACUGCUUUUAUAUAGGAAGAAACGACCCUUGCGAGGGGCAUUGACGGUAUUAUAUGAAUAAGCACCGGCUAACUCCGUGCCAGCAGCCGCGGUAAUAC